GCACCCGUAGCUCAGCCUGGAUUAGAGCACUGCCCUCCUAAGGCAGGGGUCGUAGGUUCAAAUCCUAUCGGGUGCG
rnacentral:tRNA from 1 species